rnacentral:rRNA from 1 species
AUUAUGAGAGUUUGAUCCUGGCUCAGGACGAACGCUGGCGGCGUGCCUAAUACAUGCAAGUCGAACGCUUUUUCUUUCACCGGAGCUUGCUCCACCGAAAGAAAAAGAGUGGCGAACGGGUGAGUAACACGUGGGUAACCUGCCCAUCAGAAGGGGAUAACACUUGGAAACAGGUGCUAAUACCGUAUAACACUAUUUUCCGCAUGGAAGAAAGUUGAAAGGCGCUUUUGCGUCACUGAUGGAUGGACCCGCGGUGCAUUAGCUAGUUGGUGAGGUAACGGCUCACCAAGGCAACGAUGCAUAGCCGACCUGAGAGGGUGAUCGGCCACACUGGGACUGAGACACGGCCCAGACUCCUACGGGAGGCAGCAGUAGGGAAUCUUCGGCAAUGGACGAAAGUCUGACCGAGCAACGCCGCGUGAGUGAAGAAGGUUUUCGGAUCGUAAAACUCUGUUGUUAGAGAAGAACAAGGAUGAGAGUAAAAUGUUCAUCCCUUGACGGUAUCUAACCAGAAAGCCACGGCUAACUACGUGCCAGCAGCCGCGGUAAUACGUAGGUGGCAAGCGUUGUCCGGAUUUAUUGGGCGUAAAGCGAGCGCAGGCGGUUUCUUAAGUCUGAUGUGAAAGCCCCCGGCUCAACCGGGGAGGGUCAUUGGAAACUGGGAGACUUGAGUGCAGAAGAGGAGAGUGGAAUUCCAUGUGUAGCGGUGAAAUGCGUAGAUAUAUGGAGGAACACCAGUGGCGAAGGCGGCUCUCUGGUCUGUAACUGACGCUGAGGCUCGAAAGCGUGGGGAGC